UUUUUCACAUCGCGAAAAUCCGACUUCCAGAAAUCUGGCAACGCAUGAUAUGUCUAUUUUUUUCCCGUUUACAUGGCAAAGGCCAUAAGAAAUCUAAGUGGCUUCAAUAAAAAAAAUCUAGUGUUUUUAAUUCUGAAUAUUUCUUCAAAAGAAUUACACAGUGCUCUAGGAUGUGUUAAUUGAUGUCCAAUCUACCAAUUCAAGUCCACUAAAUCAAUGAAAUCAUAAUAAAAAUCACGAAUGAAUAGUUUUAAAAAAAGGAUUCGUAGACACUCUUCCAGUAACUGUGAAACACCACUUCAAUGAGUUUGAAUUUUCUAAUAUUGAAUGUUUCACUAAUACAAAACGUUUCUUUCUCGCA